rnacentral:rRNA from 1 species
AGUCGAGCGGGGUUACUGACACAAAGGCCUUCGGGUCUGCGAGUCUUUAACCUAGCGGCGGACGGGUGAGUAACGCGUGGGCAACCUGCCCUAAAGCUCGGGAUAACAGUGGGAAACUGCUGCUAAUACCGGAUAACUUUAAUCGGAGGCAUCUUCGGCUAAAGAAAGGGCGCCAAUGCAUUGCAUUGGCGAAUUCGCUUUAGGAUGGACCCGCGUCCCAUUAGCUAGUUGGUGAGGUAAUAGCUCACCAAGGCGACGAUGGGUAGCCGGCCUGAGAGGGUGGACGGCCACACUGGGACUGAGACACGGCCCAGACUCCUACGGGAGGCAGCAGUAGGGAAUAUUGCGCAAUGGAGGAAACUCUGACGCAGCGACGCCGCGUGAACGAUGAAGGCCUUCGGGUCGUAAAGUUCUGUCCUUGGGGAAGAAGGACACCUUUUAGGUGUCUUGACGGUACCCAAGAAGAAAGCCCCGGCUAACUACGUGCCAGCAGCCGCGGUAAUACGUAGGGGGCAAGCGUUGUCCGGAAUUACUGGGCGUAAAGGGUGCGCAGGCGGCCAUUUAAGUCAGGUGUGAAAUUCCACGGCUUAACCGUGGGGUUGCAUUUGAAACUGGGUGGCUUGAGUAUCGGAGAGGGUAGUGGAAUUCCCAGUGUGGCGGUGAAAUGCGUAGAUAUUGGGAGGAACACCAGUGGCGAAGGCGACUACCUGGACGAUCACUGACGCUGAGGCACGAAAGCUAGGGGAGCAAACAGGAUUAGAUACCCUGGUAGUCCUAGCCGUAAACGAUGGGUACUAGGUGUAGGGGGUUUCGAUACCUUCUGUGCCGGAGUUAACGCAAUAAGUACCCCGCCUGGGGAGUACGUGCGCAAGCAUGAAACUCAAAGGAAUUGACGGGGGCCCGCACAAGCGGUGGAGCAUGUGGUUUAAUUCGAAGUAACGCGAAGAACCUUACCAGGGCUUGACAUCCCUUGACCACCUCAGAGAUGAGGUCUCUCUUCGGAGCAAGGAGACAGGUGGUGCAUGGUUGUCGUCAGCUCGUGUCGUGAGAUGUUGGGUUAAGUCCCGCAACGAGCGCAACCCUUGCUUUUAGUUGCCAUCAUUAAGUUGGGCACUCUAAAGGGACUGCCGGUGACAAACCGGAGGAAGGUGGGGAUGACGUCAAAUCAUCAUGCCCCUUAUGUCCUGGGCUACACACGUGCUACAAUGGUCUGUACAGAGGGAAGCGAAAGGGCGACCUGAAGCGGAUCCCACAAAACAGAUCUCAGUUCGGAUUGCAGGCUGCAACUCGCCUGUAUGAAGUCGGAAUCGCUAGUAAUCGCAGGUCAGCAUACUGCGGUGAAUACGUUCCCGGGCCUUGUACACACCGCCCGUCACACCACGAAAGUUUGCAACACCCGAAGCCGGUGGCCUAACC